CAUGAGCUUAAUUAAGACCAUAAAAUGGACCUGGAGGAGGCUUCCCAUGAGGAAGACUUCUGGAAGCUACUGGAAGGUGCUUAAGAAGUUCUCUACCCUUUUUUGACAGCUAAGGAUCAUUGACUUCCACCCACACUGUAAGAACUAGGGUCUGAAGGAACCUUGAAGCACAAGUCCCAGAGGCAGACAUCAGGGAAACCCUGAAGGGGGAGAUGGUGAUUUCUUCUAAGAGAGCUCCAGAUUAAUACCCGAGUGCAAUUCUUUGUAAUGGAUUAGAAACACAUGGGCAUUUUAUGAUGCAAAACAAGUGAAUUGGUCUGGUUGUGCUACUGUGAUCCUGACCCUGGCUGAAGGCAGAGCACACACCACUAACACCAGAAGGCUUGUCUGAAGGAAGAGUUGGUGAUCAAGAAUCAGAUGGAAAUAGAAGAACUGGAACUUGUGUGUCUGGCUAGAUGGUCAUUUAAAUGCUACAUAGAUGGCAAGAGCCAGAAGAAGAGUAACAAGUAGGGAACAUGCAACAAGUGGAGAGAGGAGACCAACAUUCACCAGGAACACAUUCCAGAUAGAGCAGAGGGUACAUCACCCUGACUGUUCAUGUCUGAAACUUACUUAUCUAAAAUCUGCACUG